UACAGAGGGUGCGAGCGUUAAUCGGAAUUACUGGGCGUAAAGCGCACGUAGGCGGCUUGGUAUGUCGGGUGUGAAAUCCCCGGGCUCAACCUGGGAACUGCAUCCGAAACUGCCUUGCUAGAGUAUGGGAGAGGGAAGUGGAAUUUCCGGUGUAGCGGUGAAAUGCGUAGAUAUCGGAAGGAACAUCAGUGGCGCAAGCGGCUGACUGGCCGAGACCUGACGCUGAGACGCGACGGCGUGGGGAGCAAACAGG
rnacentral:rRNA from 1 species